AAUCAAUAGCCAAUUAAUUGUUGGCCGGUAUGAAUGGCAUCACGAAGGCCCCACUGUCUUAAGAGGACUCUCCAUGAAAUUGAAUUCGUAGUGAAGAUGCUACGUCCAUAUUGUAAGACGAAAAGACCCCAUUGAGCUUUACUAAAGACUUGUAUGGCUCGAAAUAACUUAAAUAAAAAGUUUAGAUAAUGUGGGAUCCGUUUUUGGUUAAUGAAACACCACUCUUUUAUUUUAAGAGAGCUAACCUUGUAGGGAGAGUGCAAGUUGGAUAGUUUGGUUGGGGCGACCGCCUUUUAAAAGGUAACGAAGGUGAGCUUAAGGUCCGUAGUUAAUAGCUAGUGGCCUGACUGCAAGGGGGACAUCCCGAGCAGACACUGGUAAUCUCUCAGUGGGUUAUAGUGACCCGUCAUCUGAGAGUGGAAUAGUUGACGAUCAA
rnacentral:rRNA from 1 species